AUCCAGAUGAUGAGUCCCGAACAGGACGAAAUGCACAUUCUUGCUGGAU
rnacentral:hammerhead_ribozyme from 1 species